GUAGCCUCGGCCUCACUUCCUGCCGUUCUGGUUACCUGAGGUCAUCCGCAAUCCCGGAGCAGAUGAUUUCCCCCCUGACACGCCAUCAGAAGGUCAGCAGGAGCCUGACGCUGCGUCACUGUGCCUCUGUCCGUCACCACCCUGCAUCUCAUCACAUCUUCACAUCUCAAAGCAUCGCAAGAAGAAGGGCGAGAACAGUACAAUUCUUCCAGGAUUGUCUGCUGACCAGAAGCAGAAGGAAACUAUUUCAGUGGCUUCUUAGACAAGCUUUGUGAGAGAAAACACAUGGUUAUCUGCAGAGUUGUAAGUGAAAGAAAUGUCACUCAAGACACAUACCGAUGGUAACUCCUUCUUUUAGACAAUAAAGUGUCCAGAAUCAAAUAAAUAAGGGUCAUCUGACUCCCAAAGAACACGGCCAGAGUGCUCAUAAGAUCCGAAGAAGCUGAGUCAGAUCAUCUCCAAAGGACAAAUGUAGUGCUCCUCCAAAAUCAGUGACUUGUGGAAUGUAGCAAUCUUGCCGUGUAUUUUCUCGGAGCCAAGCAGCCUGGUUCUGUCAAGUCCAUCUUUCAUCCCCUUCGC